rnacentral:rRNA from 1 species
UACGUAGGGUGCAAGCGUUGUCCGGAAUUAUUGGGCGUAAAGGGCUCGUAGGCGGUCCAUCGCGUCGGGAGUGAAAAGCUGGGGCUCAACCCCAGUCCUGCUUCCGAUACGGGUGGACUAGAAGUAGGCAGGGGAGAACGGAAUUCCUGGUGUAGCGGUGAAAUGCGUAGAUAUCAGGAGGAACACCUGUGGUGUAGACGGCUUUCUGGACCAUAGCUGACGCUGAGACACGAAAGCGUGGGUAGCAAACAGG